rnacentral:misc_RNA from 1 species
GAGAGAGAGAAGCUUACUGACUACAUAUGCAAAAAGGAGUAUUCAUUUUCAAAGGAAUAAGAAAUUAAUCAACUUAUGCGAAGGAGAGGAGAGGAGACUAACAACGUCUUAAACAUGAAUCUCUUCAUCUAGAAAUAAAAUUUUGAAAUGACCACAUUAUGAAGGUACAAAAGUGCUCAUUUGAAAGUGUAAUUCAUGUAGAUGAACAUAAAUCAAAUCCUAGUUUAUGCAUAGAGCUUGUGUCUCUACUAAAUUUCUAAUUUCCAUUUAAUGUGAGAGAAACACAAGAUUUAUAUUCAGUGUUAAACAUCUUCAAUUUACAUUCACCAUUUACUUCCUCUGGCAGUAGCUACACAAUUGCUUAUGCUGAUAUUUACUGUUCCUACAGGUAGACAAUUGAUCAGCUACAGCUGCCAGAGAACUUCCCUUUUACUAGAGGCUGUAAGGAAAACUAACUAAAGCAAACUCAUUUUGUCAACAAUUGUUUAAUGUUUCCAACCAAUUUUAUUUUUCUAUUCCAAACUCUACUUAUAUUUUUUGAUCCAGACGCCUUCUAAUUCCAAAAAGAAUUCAUGGGGUGCGCUUGUGUGCAAUCACGCCUACCUGUAUUGAUGUAUAAAGAUACAAAAUUCAGCUAAAGGUUGCAAUACCUGUGAACUUCUGCAGACGAUCAGCAUCAAACACAGAUUUGUCAUUUUCCAAAGCUGCCUUUAGGCCUGAUGCCAAAUGAUCAUAGCUUAAAUCCUUAU